AUCCUGGCUCAGGAUGAACGCUGGCGGCGUGCCUAACACAUGCAAGUCGAACGAGAAGCCUGAUUUCGAUUAGGUGGAGAGUGGCGCACGGGUGAGUAACACAUGGCUGACCUGCCCUUCAGAGGGGGACAACCACCGGAAACGGUGGCUAAUACCCCAUACGCUCGCCGUGAUUAGCAGGCGGUGAGGAAACCUUCGGGGCUGAGGGAGGGGGCUGUGGCCCAUCAGCUAGUUGGUAGGGUAACGGCCUACCAAGGCAAAGACGGGUAGGGGGCCUGAGAGGGUGACCCCCCACACGGGCACUGAGACACGGGCCCGACUUCUACGGAAGGCAGCAGUGAGGGAUAUUGCCCAAUGGACGGAAGUCUGAGGCAGCAACGCCGCGUGCGGGAUGAAGGCCUUCGGGUUGUAAACCGCUUUUCUGCGCGAAGAGGAAGGACGGUAGCGCAGGAAGAAGUCUCGGCUAACUACGUGCCAGCAGCCGCGGUAAAACGUAGGAGGCGAGCGUUAUCCGGAUUUACUGGGUGUAAAGCGCGUGCAGACGGUCAUGUAAGUGGUGCGUGAAAGCGCCCGGCUCAACCGGGCGAGGCCGUGCCAAACUGCGUGACUGGAGGCAGGUAGAGGCGCGUGGAAUUCCGGGUGUAGUGGUGAAAUGCGUAGAUAUCCGGAGGAACACCAGUGGCGAAGGCGGCGCGCUGGGCCUGACCUGACGCUAAGACGCGAAAGCAUGGGGAGCGAACGGGAUUAGAAACCCCGGUAGUCCAUGCUGUAAACGCUGCAGACUAGGUGUUGCGUGCGACGAGUAUGCAGUGCCGAAGCCAACGUGAUAAGUCUGCCACCUGGGGACUACGGCCGCAAGGUUAAAACUCAAAGGAAUUGACGGGGGCCCCGCACAAGCAGCGGAGCGUGUGGUUUAAUUCGAGGCUACACGAAGA
rnacentral:rRNA from 1 species